rnacentral:rRNA from 1 species
UACGGAGGGUGCAAGCGUUAUCCGGAUUUACUGGGUUUAAAGGGUGCGUAGGUGGGUUGGUAAGUCAGUGGUGAAAUACUUUCGCUUAACGAAGGAACUGCCAUUGAUACUAUCAAUCUUGUAUACAGUGGAGGCAGGCGGAAUGCGUCAUGUAGCGGUGAAAUGCUUAGAUAUGACGCAGAACACCAAUUGCGAAGGCAGCUUGCUACACUGUUAUUGACACUGAGGCACGAAAGCGUGGGGAUCAAACAGG